rnacentral:rRNA from 1 species
UACGUAGGGAGCAAGCGUUGUCCGGAAUUAUUGGGCGUAAAGAGCUCGUAGGCGGCCUGUUGCGUCCGCUGUGAAAUCCCGGGGCUCAACCCCGGGCCUGCAGUGGAUACGGGCUGGCUAGAGGCAGGCAGGGGAGAACGGAAUUCCUGGUGUAGCGGUGAAAUGCGCAGAUAUCAGGAGGAACACCAGUGGCGAAGGCGGCUUACUGGACAGGUCCUGACACUGAGACGCGAAAGCGUGGGUAGCAAACAGG